GACGAACGCUGGCGGCGUGCUUAACACAUGCAAGUCGAACGGUAAGGCCCUUCGGGGUACACGAGUGGCGAACGGGUGAGUAACACGUGGGUGAUCUGCCCUGCACUUCGGGAUGAGCCUGGGAAACUGGGUCUAAUACCGGAUAGGACCCUGGGAUGCAUGUCCUGGGGUGGAAAGCUUUUGCGGUGUGGGAUGGGCCCGCGGCCUAUCAGCUUGUUGGUGGGGUAAUGGCCUACUAAGGCGACGACGGGUAGCAGGCCUGAGGGGGUGACCGGCCACGCUGGGACUGAGAUACGGACCAGACUCGUACGGGGGGCAGCAGUGGGGAAUAUUGCACAAUGGGCGCAAGCCUGAUGCAGCGACGCCGCGUGAGGGAUGCCGGCCUUCGGGUUGUAAACCUCUUUCAGUAGGGACGAAGCGCAAGUGACGGUACCUACAGAAGAAGGACCGGCCAACUACGUGCCAGCAGCCGCCGCGG
rnacentral:rRNA from 1 species